rnacentral:rRNA from 1 species
UACGUAGGGUGCAAGCGUUAAUCGGAAUUACUGGGCGUAAAGCGUGCGCAGGCGGUGAUGUAAGACAGUUGUGAAAUCCCCGGGCUCAACCUGGGAACUGCAUCUGUGACUGCAUUGCUGGAGUGCGGCAGAGGGGGAUGGAAUUCCGCGUGUAGCAGUGAAAUGCGUAGAUAUGCGGAGGAACACCAGUGGCGAAGGCGACA